GGCAUCUCCUUGGAAAGCCCUGCCGUAACUUCAUGUGGUACUGGUGUAACAGCUUGUAUUCUCGCAUUGGUAAGACUCUCUCUCUCUCUCUCUCUCUCUCUCUCUCUCUCUCUCUCUCUCUCUCUCUCUCUCUCUCUCUCUCUCUCUCUCUCUCUCUCUCUCUCUCUCUCUCUCUCUCUCUCUCUCUCUCUCUACAAACACACACACAGAGACAAACGUAGGUGUUUGUGUGCGCGCACACUUGUUUAUAUCUUAGUAGGAUGAAAAGGAGAUAGUAGUCCAUCUUUUAUCUCCUUUCUCUUUCCUUUUAGAGAUAGAAACACAUUACAGAGAUGAAUAUUCUUUUCAAUAAUUGCUCAUGAACGUAAACAAUGGUUUUAGUUUUCC
rnacentral:lncRNA from 1 species